rnacentral:rRNA from 1 species
GAUGAACGCUGGCGGCGUGCCUAAUACAUGCAAGUCGAGCGAACGGACGAGAAGCUUGCUUCUCUGAUGUUAGCGGCGGACGGGUGAGUAACACGUGGAUAACCUACCUAUAAGACUGGGAUAACUUCGGGAAACCGGAGCUAAUACCGGAUAAUAUUUUGAACCGCAUGGUUCAAAAGUGAAAGACGGUCUUGCUGUCACUUAUAGAUGGAUCCGCGCUGCAUUAGCUAGUUGGUAAGGUAACGGCUUACCAAGGCAACGAUGCAUAGCCGACCUGAGAGGGUGAUCGGCCACACUGGAACUGAGACACGGUCCAGACUCCUACGGGAGGCAGCAGUAGGGAAUCUUGCGCAAUGGGCGAAAGCCUGACGGAGCAAUGCCGCGUGAGUGAUGAAGGUCUUCGGAUUGUAAAACUCUUUUAGUAGGGAAGAACAUAUGUGAAAGUAACUGUUCACAUCUUGACGUUACCUAAUCAGAAAGCCACGGCUAACUACGUG